rnacentral:tRNA from 1 species
GGGCUCGUAGCUCAACUGGUAGAGCGCCCGGCUCAUAACCGGGCGGUCGGUGGUUCGACUCCACCCGAGCCCACCA